GCCAGGUGCAGUGGUCGUUGCAUGCCUGUAAUCCCAGUGGCUCGGGAGGCUGAGGCAGGAGGAUCACGAGUUCAAAGCCAGCGUCAGUAAUGGCAAGGCACUAAGCAACUCAGUGAGACCCUGUCUCUU
rnacentral:sRNA from 1 species